UACGUAGGGUGCGAGCGUUAAUCGGAAUUACUGGGCGUAAAGCGUGCGCAGGCGGCGCGUUAAGACAGGUGUGAAAGCCCCGAGCUUAACUUGGGAAUUGCGCUUGUGACUGGCGUGCUGGAGUGUGGCAGAGGGAGGUGGAAUUCCACGUGUAGCAGUGAAAUGCGUAGAGAUGCGGAGGAACACCGAUGGCGAAGGCAGCCUCCUGGGCCAGCACUGACGCUCAUGCACGAAAGCGUGGGGAGCAAACAGG
rnacentral:rRNA from 1 species